rnacentral:rRNA from 1 species
GACGAACGCUGGCGGCGUGCCUAAUACAUGCAAGUCGAACGAGAGCGACCGGUGCUUGCACUGGUCAAUCUAGUGGCGAACGGGUGAGUAACACGUGGGUAACCUGCCCAUCAGAGGGGGAUAACAUCCGGAAACGGAUGCUAAAACCGCAUAGGUCUUCGAGCCGCAUGGCUUGAAGAGGAAAAGAGGCGCAAGCUUCUGCUGAUGGAUGGACCCGCGGUGCAUUAGCUAGUUGGUGAGGUAACGGCUCACCAAGGCCGUGAUGCAUAGCCGACCUGAGAGGGUGAUCGGCCACAUUGGGACUGAGACACGGCCCAAACUCCUACGGGAGGCAGCAGUAGGGAAUCUUCCGCAAUGGACGCAAGUCUGACGGAGCAACGCCGCGUGAGUGAAGAAGGUGUUCGGAUCGUAAAACUCUGUUGUUAGAGAAGAACAAGUGCUAGAGUAACUGUUAGCGCUUUGACGGUAUCUAACCAGAAAGCCACGGCUAACUACGUG